rnacentral:rRNA from 1 species
CCUACGGGAGGCAGCAGUAGGGAAUAUUGCUCAAUGGGGGAAACCCUGAAGCAGCAACGCCGCGUGGAGGAUGACGGUUUUCGGAUUGUAAACUCCUUUUGUUAGAGAAGAUAAUGACGGUAUCUAACGAAUAAGCACCGGCUAACUCCGUGCCAGCAGCCGCGGUAAUACGGAGGGUGCGAGCGUUACUCGGAAUCACUGGGCGUAAAGAGCGCGUAGGCGGGUUAGCAAGUCAGAUGUGAAAUUCUAUGGCUUAACCUUAGAACUGCAUUUGAAACUGUUAUUCUUGAGUAUGGUAGAGGUAGGUGGAAUUCGUGGUGUAGGGGUAAAAUCCGUAGAGAUCAAGAAGAAUACUGAUUGCGAAGGCGACCUGCUAGAACAUAACUGACGCUGAUGCGCGAAAGCGUGGGUAGCAAACAGGAUUAGAUACCCCAGUAGUC